GCGGGCGUAGUGCAGUGGCAGCACGCCAUCCUUCCCGGAUGGAAGCGUUGGUUCGAUUCCAGCCGCCCGCUCCA
rnacentral:tRNA from 1 species